rnacentral:rRNA from 1 species
GACGAACGCUGGCGGCGUGCUUAACACAUGCCAGUCGAACGGAAAGGCCCUGCUUUUGUGGGGUGCUCGAGUGGCGAACGGGUGAGUAACACGUGAGUAACCUGCCCUUGACUUUGGGAUAACUUCAGGAAACUGGGGCUAAUACCGGAUAGGAGCUCCUGCUGCAUGGUGGGGGUUGGAAAGUUUCGGCGGUUGGGGAUGGACUCGCGGCUUACCAGCUUGUUGGUGGGGUAGUGGCUUACCAAGGCUUUGACGGGUAGCCGGCCUGAGAGGGUGACCGGCCACAUUGGGACUGAGAUACGGACCAGACUCCUACGGGAGGCAGCAGUGGGGAAUAUUGCACAAUGGGCGGAAGCCUGAUGCAGCAACGCCGCGUGCGGGAUGACGGCCUUCGGGUUGUAAACCGCUUUCGCCUGUGACGAAGCGUGAGUGACGGUAAUGGGUAAAGAAGCACCGGCUAACUACGUG